GAAAAGAGUCAUGGAUCCACAAAGAACAUAGUCUAUGGAUAAAGAAUGGAGGACAGUUUUAAACGCCCACUAAAAAUUGUCUUUCUAGAGAGUCUCUCUCUCUCUCUCUCUCGAAUCCUCUCUUUAGAGGUUUAGAGUCUGGGGUUUUCCUUAAAUUGUCCACACUCCCCCUCUCCACUUCCUGCCCUGCCGGUGCCCCCAGGAACUGACACUGAGGAAGCACGCGCAGGGUCAGAAGGGAGAGAGAUGAGCGGUCGUCUCUCCCUGCGCCAGCUUCAGGAAAGGUCUCUCGGGUGCUCUGUGCCUGGGCAACUACUGCUCCUUCUGAGGGGCCCUUCCUCUGCCUCCGUGGUUCCAGUUGGGCCAUGGUUUCCUCUUGUCCGUUUACAUCCAAGACUGUUUACCUGCUUCUGCCUUCCCCUCCUAUUCCCUUCACCCAGCCUACCCCUGCCUGUGAGCCUCGCAGUAAAGUCUCUCCAUCUGAACCACCUGCUGGAACCCUGACUGACAGAGAGACUCCUCGUGAAUAGGCAUGGACUGCGUGCAUGCAACACAUUUUAGGAUAAAUGAUGAGAAAAGGGGACUGAAAAAUAUAGUUUUUACCUUCAAGACGAGCCAUUUACAACUUGGCCGUAAGGACUAGGAGAGGUGACCUCGUGUGGGCUGAAGGGCAAUCUGAAGCGAGACGCUCUGGGCACACGGCUACACCAGACCUUCGGGCAGGAUCCUAUUUCAGCGACAACUACGGAGACGUCCCUCCCCAUUCCCUUCCCUCCAGUCCUGUCGAAGACUUCAAGAGAAGGGCUUUGCUCUUACGGAUCUCAUCAAGAUGGCAGCGUGAGCAGACUUUGAACUCGUCUCCUCCUACGCACACAACCAGGUGACAACUAUUCUUGGAAAAAUUACCCCUGACUGAAAACUGAAAACUGGAUAAAAAGAACCCCCACAACAAGGGACCGUCCUGACUAAGGCAGAAGAGGCAGAAAAUCCUGCCAGAGAGGAAAAAAGCCACCUUUGGGAGCAGUGGAGCUUCUCAGCUGGCCAGGCGGGAGCCACCCUAAGCAUGGCUUGACAAGCGGUGCCAUGUCCACACCCGGGAUCCGAACCGGCGAAACUCCAGGCCGCUGAAGCAGAACGUGUGAACUUAACUGCUGCUCCGCUGGUCUGGCCCCAAGAAACAAUUUUUAAAAGGCUGAAAGGUAGCAGACUAAACAGAACUCUAUUUUGUAACUCCUGAAAAUGCUUUCUAAUUUCUUGGUCAGCCAUUCGUGCCUAUUUCAAUUCUUCUGAUGAAUCAAAGGCCUAUCAAACAAAGUCCGCCAUCGCUGCUGCAGAAUUAUCUGAAGAUGCAUGAGGAACACUGACAGUGAGAGCUGCCUCGAAGGUUGUGGGAUUCUGACAUGUACUGUAAAAGAAAAGGGCAACGCCUUCAGUUUGUCAGGAGAAAGCUGGCAUGAAAUUUUGAAGAUUAAUCUUUUAAGUUGGUAAUAUUUUAUUAUAUUUUUAACUUUUCCAUAUAGGUAUGUGUUUAUGUAUGUAUUUAUUUAUUUUUAAUAUGUGGCCUUCUGUAUCUGACUUCUUUUUUUUUUUUUAAGGAAGAGGUUUUAAAGAUUUUAUUUUUUUUCCUUUUUUCUCCCCAAAGCCCCCCGGUACAUAGUUGUGUAUUCUUCCUUGUGGGCCCUUCUAGUUGUG
ensembl:lncRNA